UCCCUGGUGGUCCAGUGGUUAGGAUUUGGCACUUUCACUGCCGAGGCCCCGGGUUCAAUCCCCGGUUGGGGAA